rnacentral:rRNA from 1 species
AGUUCGAUUCUGGCUCAGAUUGAACGCUGGUGGAUGCUUUACACAUGCAAGUCGAACGGCAGCACGGACUUCGGUCUGGUGGCGAGUGGCGAACGGGUGAGUAAUGUAUCGGAACGUGCCUAGUAGCGGGGAUAACUACGCGAAAGCGUAGCUAAUACCGCAUACGCCCUUCGGGGAAAGCGGGGACCUUUCGGGCCUCGCACUAUUAGAGCGGCCGAUAUCGGAUUAGCUAGUUGGUGGGGUAACGGCUCACCAAGGCGACGAUCCGUAGCUGGUUUGAGAGGACGACCAGCCACACUGGGACUGAGACACGGCCCAGACUCCUACGGGAGGCAGUGGGGAAUUUUGGACAAUGGGGAAACCCUUGAUCCAGCCAUCCCGCGUGUGCGAUGAAGGCCUUCGGGUUGUAAAGCACUUUUGGCAGGAAGAAACGGCACGGGAUAAUACCCCGUGCAACUGACGGUACCUGCAGAAUAAGCACCGGCUAACUACGUGCCAGCAGCCGCGGUAAUACGUAGGGUGCAAGCGUUAAUCGGAAUUACUGGGCGUAAAGCGUGCGCAGGCGGUUCGAAAGAAAGACGUGAAAUCCCAGAGCUUAACUUUGAACUGCAUUUUUAACUACCGAGCUAGAGUGUGUCAGGGAGGGAGGUGGAAUUCCGCGUGUAGCAGUGAAAUGCGUAGAUAUGCGGAGGAACACCGAUGGCGAAGGCAGCUCUCUGGGAUAACACUGGACGCUCAUGCACGAAAGCGUGGGGAGCAAACAGAUUAGAUACCCUGGUAGUCCACGCCCUAAACGAUGUCAACUAUUUUCGUUGGGGCCUUCGGGCUCCUCGGUAGCGCAGCUAACGCGUGAAGUUGACCGCCUGGGGAGUACGGUCGCAAGAUUAAAAACUCAAAGGAAUUGACGGGGACCCGCACAAGCGGUGGAUGAUGUGGAUUAAUCUGAUGCAACGUGCGAAAAACCUUACCUACCCUUGACAUGUCUGGAAUCCCGAAGAGAUUUGGGAGUGCUCGCAAGAGAACCGGAACACAGGUGCUGCAUGGCUGUCGUCAGCUCGUGUCGUGAGAUGUUGCUGUCCCGCAACGAGCGCAACCUUGUCAUUAGUUGCUACGAAAGGGCACUCUCUAAUGAGACUGCCGGUGACAAACCGGAGGAAGGUGGGGAUGACGUCAAGUCCUCAUGGCCCUUAUGGGUGGGCUUCACGUCAUACAAUGGUCGGGACAGAGGGUCGCCAACCCGCGAGGGGGAGCCAAUCCCAGAAACCCGAUCGUAGUCCGGAUCGCAGUCUGCAACUCGACUGCGUGAAGUCGGAAUCGCUAGUAAUCGCGGAUCAGCAUGUCGCGGUGAAUACGUUCCUGGGUCUUGUACACACCGCCCGUCACACCAUGGGAGUGGGUUUUACCAGAAGUAGUUAGCCUAACCGUAAGGAGGGCGAUUACCACGGUAGGAUUCAUGACUGGGGUGAAGUCGUAACAAGGUAA